rnacentral:rRNA from 1 species
GAUGAACGCUGGCGGCGUGCCUAAUACAUGCAAGUCGAGCGAACGGACGAGAAGCUUGCUUCUCUGAUGUUAGCGGCGGACGGGUGAGUAACACGUGGAUAACCUACCUAUAAGACUGGGAUAACUUCGGGAAACCGUAGCUAAUACCGGAUAAUAUUUUGAACCGCAUGGUUCAAAAGUGAAAGACGGUCUUGCUGUCACUUAUAGAUGGAUCCGCGCUGCAUUAGCUAGUUGGUAAGGUAACGGCUUACCAAGGCAACGAUGCAUAGCCGACCUGAGAGGGUGAUCGGCCACACUGGAACUGAGACACGGUCCAGACUCCUACGGGAGGCAGCAGUAGGGAAUCUUCCGCAAUGGGCGCAAGCCUGACGGAGCAAUGCCGCGUGAGUGAUGAAGGUCUUCGGAUCGUAAAACUCUGUUAUUAGGGAAGAACAUAUGUGUAAGUAACUGUGCACAUCUUGACGGUACCUAAUCAGAAAGCAACGGCUAACUACGUG